UUUCACUGCAUUGAGCAGCUUCAGCUGCAUGCAACAAAUUCUGCCUCUGUGUUUUUUUUAGUCUAACUUUAUUGAGCCUUUCGAUGGCUAAGUUGAAGAUCUCUCUUGGAGACAGUUUCCAUGGAAAGAAAUCUGAGCUAACCUGUUGGGGAGGUCAUACAGCGAGAAAGAGACCCUGGAGGAUAAGAAGCCACAUAGGAAAGAACCAAGGUGCCCCAGUGGACAGCCAGCACCCAGGCAUGUAAGAAAACUGAAAACUGCCAGUACUCUCUGUAGUAAAAUGAUCAAAGGAGGUAUCCUUAAGACUCCUGAAGGAGCAUUGGAGAUUGGAAGGACAACACAAGUGUUU